rnacentral:misc_RNA from 1 species
GAUGAAGGAACGUAGCAAAAUGCGAUAAGUAAUGUGAAUUGCAGAAUUCAGUGAAUCAUCGAAUCUUUGAACGCACAUUGCGCCCGCCAGUAUUCUGGCGGGCAUGCCUGUUCGAGCGUCAUUUCAACCCUCAAGCCCUCGGGUUUGGUGUUGGGGAUCGGCGAGCCUUUCUGGCAAGCCGGCCCCGAAAUCUAGUGGCGGUCUCGCUGCAGCCUCCAUUGCGUAGUAGUAAAACCCUCGCAACUGGAACGCGGCGCGGCCAAGCCGUUAAACCCCCAACUUCUGAAUGUUGACCUCGGAUCAGGUAGGAAUACCCGCUGAACUUAAGCAUAUCAAUAAGCGGAGGA